CCAAUAGCGUAUAUUAAAGUUGUUGCAGUUAAAAAGCUCGUAGUUGAAUUUCGGGAUCAAUAUGUCGGUCGUGCCUCGGUACGUACUGGCGUCAUUGGUUUCUCCCUUCUGAAGAACCGCGAUGUCAUUAAUUUGGUGUCGUGGGGAAUCAGGACUGUUACUUUGAAAAAUUUAGAGUGUUUAAAGCAGGCUCGCGCUUGAAUACAUUAGCAUGGAAUAAGGAAAUAGGAAGUUUUGAUUCUAUUUUGUUGGUUUCUAGGAUCGACGUAAUGAUUAAUAGGGAUAGUUGGGGGCAUUAGUAUUCAAUUGUCAGAGGUGAAAUUCUUGGAUUUAUUGAAGACUAACUACUGCGAAAGCAUUUGCCAAGGAUGUUUUCAUUAAUCAAGAACGAAAGUUAGGGGAUCGAAGACGAUCAGAUACCGUCGUAGUCUUAACCAUAAACUAUGCCGACUAGGGAUCGGAUGAUGUUAAUUUUUUAAUGACUCAUUCGGCGCCUUACG
rnacentral:rRNA from 1 species